rnacentral:rRNA from 1 species
UACGUAGGGUGCGAGCGUUGUCCGGAAUUAUUGGGCGUAAAGAGCUCGUAGGCGGUGUGUCACGUCGGCCGUGAAAACCUGCAGCUUAACUGUGGGCGUGCGGUCGAUACGGGCAUCACUGGAGUUCGGCAGGGGAGACUGGAAUUCCUGGUGUAGCGGUGAAAUGCGCAGAUAUCAGGAGGAACACCGGGGGCGAAGGCGGGUCUCUGGGCCGAUACUGACGCUGAGGAGAGAAAGCGUGGGGAGCAAACAGG